rnacentral:rRNA from 1 species
AGAGUUUGAUCCUGGCUCAUAAUGAACGCUGGCGGCGUGCUUAACACAUGCAAGUCGAACGGUAACAGAGGAGCUUGCUCCUGCUGACGAGUGGCGCACGGGUGAGUAAUGCAUAGGUAACGUGCCCCUUAGUCUGGGAUAGCCACUGGAAACGGUGAUUAAUACUAGAUACGCCUUCUCUUUUAAUAAGAGUUGGGAAAGUUUUUCGCUAAGGGAUCGGCCUAUGUUGUAUCAGGUAGUUGGUGAGGUAAUGGCUCACCAAGCCUAUGACACAUAGCGGGUCUGAGAGGAUGAUCCGCCACACUGGUACUGAGACACGGACCAGACUCCUACGGGAGGCAGCAGUGGGGAAUAUUGCACAAUGGACGAAAGUCUGAUGCAGCAACGCCGCGUGGAGGAUGACACAUUUCGGUGCGUAAACUCCUUUUAUAUGAGAAGAUAAUGACGGUAUCAUAUGAAUAAGCACCGGCUAACUCCGUGCCAGCAGCCGCGGUAAUU